GAUGAACGCUGGCGGCGUGCCUAAUACAUGCAAGUCGAGCGAACGGACGAGAAGCUUGCUGCUCUGAUGUUAGCGGCGGACGGGUGAGUAACACGUGGAUAACCUACCUAUAAGACUGGGAUAACUUCGGGAAACCGGAGCUAAUACCGGAUAAUAUUUUGAACCGCAUGGUUCAAAAGUGAAAGACGGUCUUGCUGUCACUUAUAGAUGGAUCCGCGCUGCAUUAGCUAGUUGGUAAGGUAACGGCUUACCAAGGCAACGAUGCAUAGCCGACCUGAGAGGGUGAUCGGCCACACUGGAACUGAGACACGGUCCAGACUCCUACGGGAGGCAGCAGUAGGGAAUCUUCCGCAAUGGGCGAGAGCCUGACGGAGCAACGCCGCGUGAGUGAUGAAGGUCUUCGGAUCGUAAAACUCUGUUAUUAGGGAAGAACAUAUGUGUAAGUAACUGUGCACAUCUUGACGGUACCUAAUCAGAAAGCCCCGGCUAACUACGUG
rnacentral:rRNA from 1 species